GGUGACAAGUGCAUAUUUUUGUUCUUUUAUAUAAAAUCCGGGUCAGUACAAUUAUAUAAAUAACGUAACAUUUGUUCUUUUAACAACUAUUUCUCCUGCGCUAGGGCUUUUGGUUUGAGCGACACCAGACACGUCGCCUCUCCCACGCUUCCCGCCCGUUGUUGCCAGUGUCCCUGUCGCCAGUUCGGAUGUAUACAGCUCCGGCCAUGCACCAACGGCUGCCGAAAUUACGAACCUUGCCAAGAAAGUAUAUUUCAAGAUAUAUUCUACGUGUCUCGUCUCGAAUAAUCAUACUCUAAGUCAUACCAGGCAUCAUCAUCUACGUGCUUAAAAGGGAUGAAAAACAAGAUGAGGAAAUAUUCCUUUAUCGCUAUGCUUCUCGGGGUCACAGUAUUAUGGACUUAAAUUGGUUUUUUAUCCCUCUAGCCAUUUUGAUUAUAUCUCUUUCUAUAAUUAACCCCUCAUAUGAUUCAUUAUUAUUUACACUCAAAAUUUUUUCUCGAUGAUACAUAGACAUCAUAUGUUGAUGAUUAAAUGCUUUCAUCCGAUAUAAAAUUCGAUCCAUGUAUAGAAAACCUAUUUUUACGAUAUCAUGAUAUUCAUUUUUUAAAUCCAUAAUCCUUUUUGUCAUCA